GCCCCUAUAGCUCAACGGAUAGAGCACCUCCCUUCUAAGGAGGGGAUGAGGGUUCGAUUCCCCCUGGGGGCA
rnacentral:tRNA from 1 species